rnacentral:rRNA from 1 species
UAGGGAAUCUUCGGCAAUGGACGGAAGUCUGACCGAGCAACGCCGCGUGAGUGAAGAAGGUUUUCGGAUCGUAAAGCUCUGUUGUAAGAGAAGAACGAGUGUGAGAGUGGAAAGUUCACACUGUGACGGUAUCUUACCAGAAAGGGACGGCUAACUACGUGCCAGCAGCCGCGGUAAUACGUAGGUUCCGAGCGUUGUCCGGAUUUAUUGGGCGUAAAGCGAGCGCAGGCGGUUAGAUAAGUCUGAAGUUAAAGGCUGUGGCUUAACCAUAGUAGGCUUUGGAAACUGUUUAACUUGAGUGCAAGAGGGGAGAGUGGAAUUCCAUGUGUAGCGGUGAAAUGCGUAGAUAUAUGGAGGAACACCGGUGGCGAAAGCGGCUCUCUGGCUUGUAACUGACGCUGAGGCUCGAAAGCGUGGGGAGCAAACAGGAUUAGAUACCCUGGUAGUCCACGCUGUAAACGAUGAGUGCUAGGUGUUAGACCCUUUCCGGGGUUUAGUGCCGUAGCUAACGCAUUAAGCACUCCGCCUGGGGAGUACGACCGCAAGGUUG